rnacentral:rRNA from 1 species
UUCACCAGUCUUGUCUGAUUUCAGAAAUGAAGAAAGAUUGAGUCUGAUUAAUACUUGGAUGGGAGACCCCCUGGGAACACCAAGUGCUGUUAGCU